UUUAGCGAGCUAAACUAAACUUUAAGCGAAUACGAUCGUGUUGUUGUGCUGCGCCUACAACGAAACAUAGAACAUCGCAUGGCGGAUAGGCGACUGCGCUGCAAAUCUUAGUGGGCGGCCACGCAACAUAUAUGUACAUAUGUAUGUAUGUACAUACAUUCAUGCAUACAUAUGUAUGUAAAAGUUGUAACACUUCAUCCGUGAGCAGAGCAUAUGCAAGUUUGCGUUCUCGUUCUUAAUCGUUGCGCAAAGAUCAGCCGAUAAUUUGCUGCUGCUGAUGACGCCACCGUCAACUGCAUAAAGCAUAACAAAGCGGAGACGACGUUUAACAGCGCGCCAAACACCAGCUCAGUUUCAGUCCCCAUCCAGUAGUCAAUGUGUUCACUUAUUAAAUAGUUGUUUGAUCCUCCAUUCGGUCGUUAGCCUGAUUGUUGGUCAGCCGAUUCAUAUAUUUAGUUAAAAUAUCAACAAAAGGUGCCAACUACCUUAGUCACUUCGACAGAGUGUGAGACAGUUCGUCAGCUAGUUCGUGAGUGUCUGAAAAAAGAAAUAAAAGAAUAAAAUAAAUAAGAAUUAAAUUAAAUAACUUGUAUGUAUAUCCAUCAGCGGUUUGGACUAAAACAAGCAUACCUUUCGAUCACCUACCGAUUUCUCACUUGUCAAUUCUGAAACCGGUGAUAAAAAUCUAAUUGAAAAAAAAAAAAAACAAAACACAAAGGAAAUAUU